rnacentral:lncRNA from 1 species
AGGCCAGUGCCGGCCUGCCAGGGCUUGGGCAAAUGGAGGUGACAGGUUGUAUGGAUCCAGUGAAAUCUCUAUUGUUCCCUUCAGGCCAAAAGGAAGCAGGGCACGCCUGCAGGAAGCUCCUACUGGCUCAAGUCUGGACUUUAAGUGCUUCCAUAAGGAUAACAACUGCCAGGAAUGGAACUUCAAGAGAUUAUUUUGGCAAGUCUUGAGUUCCCGAUGCUCUUUCAUUGCAAAGUAACUCCUGGAUCACGGCUGGUUUUGUUUGUGGUCGGUUUCCUGGUGGUUUUGGAGGCUGAGGAUGAUCUCCACCCCUGGGGAAUUCAGGGGAAGCGUGGACCCUGAACCUCGGUACUCUGUCCUGCUACCCUUGGACGUGCCCCUUCACCAAAGGGCAGCCAUGGCACGAGGACCCUUAGGACACCAGGGACACAGCUAAGAACUGGAAGCGAAAGGAAACGAGGGAAGCAGUAUGUCCUCACCUCCACCACCACUGCCAAGGCACUGCCAAAGCUGUCCUGGACCUAGGGCACGGAGGGGUGCUUCGCUGGGACUUGGCGGCCUUCCAGGACUGACCAGGAGACACAAGGCCAAAAGGAAGCAGGGCACGCCUGCAGGAAGCUCCUACUGGCUCAAGUCUGGACUUUAAGUGCUUCCAUAAGGAUAACAACUGCCAGGAAUGGAACUUCAAGAGAUUAUUUUGGCAAGUCUUGAGUUCCCGAUGCUCUUUCAUUGCAAAGUAACUCCUGGAUCACGGCUGGUUUUGUUUGUGGUCGGUUUCCUGGUGGUUUUGGAGGCUGAGGAUGAUCUCCACCCCUGGGGAAUUCAGGGGAAGCGUGGACCCUGAACCUCGUACUCUGUCCUGCUACCUUGGACGUGCCCUUCACCAAAGGGCAGCCAUGGCACGAGGACCCUUAGGACACCAGGGACACAGCUAAGAACUGGAAGCGAAAGGAAACGAGGGAAGCAGUAUGUCCUCACCUCCACCACCACUGCCAAGGCACUGCCAAAGCUGUCCUGGACCUAGGGCACGGAGGGGUGCUUCGCUGGGACUUGGCGGCCUUCCAGGACUGACCAGGAGACACAAGGUGCCUAGAGACCAGGGACACA